rnacentral:lncRNA from 1 species
CUCAAACAUCAUCUUUAUACGACAAACAAAAAUCCCAAUCGCUUCCACCGAAGAAUGAAGGACACGUGAAAUAAAAGCAGUUUCCUUCUAGCGAACACCUUUUCCCACUGGUUGGAUUCAGCCAUACUCUAAUGUAUCAAAUAAUUUCGCAAUGUCCUACUACAAAUCAUGUCUAAUGACAAACCAUUUAAAUCUAAAUCCUUCUCAAUGGUUGAACCAAUAAUUUUCAUUGGUCUCCCUCUGCCUCUAAUAAUUAGACUAUCCUACAUAUGAUCUACUCACUUUAUGGAGGCUUUUCCAAGUAGUUCUCUUUGAAGU